rnacentral:lncRNA from 1 species
UCAUUUCCCGGUAAAUUUCUACCCUUCAGCCCCACUUUUCUCCAGUCUCCACACCCACUCCUCCCCUUGACCUCAGUAACCUGGUUUCUUGAGGUGUGUGUGUGUGUGUGUGUGUGUGUGUGUGUGCACAAAAAGUAUUCAGGAUCAAGGAGGGCUGGGCGCAGUGAGACAGGCACCCAACCUUCCCCAGAUACUUCAGGUCUCCAGCUGCCAUGCUCCAGUGCAGACAGACAAUCGGAUGGGGCUUGAGGUAGAGAGGAAUAGGACAGUUCAGUGACGAAGACCCAGCUCAGCUCACAUUAGACUCUCCAGAGCCCUUCAUGUGCUCUGUCUUACGUCGGCUUGGCACGGGGAAGGCUUCUUGUCUCUGAAAGUAACUGCUUUGUCCAUUCCAACGAAGACCUGCAUCUUGGUGACGGGAAAUGGCUGGUUCUGUUUUCUUGCAGUCCAACUUUAGCAAGGAAGACGGCACUUAAAGCAGGGGGCAGAUUCCAGGCUGCACCCACGUAGGAGUCUCUGCUGAGCUCUGCCAAAGGCAAGUGAGCUGAGCAGAGUGACUAAGUCAACCAGAGAGAGCAGGGCACCAGCCAACCUUCCCCUCCUCGGCCCUUGUGUGAUGGGGAGCCCCCACUGCCAGUCCUGAGACCUGUACCUCAGAUCUCAGCAAUGAAAAAUCCUACUUGACCUAAAAGUAUAAAUAAAUGUGGGCUAAAUGU